UCCUUUCCGAUCUCACCACACCCAAGUAGUAACAGGAAAGAAACCUGAACACUCAGCUGUUCUCGCUGUUCCAUGCCCAACACUACCUUUAGUUCUCCGUUGUAUUUCGGGUUUACUGAAGGCAUUUAAAUGACCAAGGCGAGCGCGUGUAACAACUGGGUCCCUUCACGGACGACGGCGGGAGAUUAAUGGAGAGUCCAGAGAAACAUCAGAGCUGUGUCUGGACAGAAGAAUGUCACUCUUCAAUGCCGAGCUCCAAACAACGGACAUCCUCACACGACCGUAGAGUGGAGCAGACCUGACCUUGGGGAUCAAUAUGUGCUUUUGUACCGGGACGGGCACUUUAACUCACACAACCAGCAUCCAUCAUUUGUGAACCGGGUGGAUCUGCAGGACAGACAGAUGAAGGAUGGAGACGUCUCUCUGAUUCUGAAGAAUGUGACAAUUAAUGAUGCUGGAACAUACGAGUGUCGUGUCAAGACAGAAACACACUGCAGAAAGAGAGCUAAUCUCAGUGUUGACCCCAUCAUCAUCAUCAGCCUGAGUGUUGAUCCUUCAGGUCAGACAGGAGGAGACACAGAGGAUGGAGGGAAGGAGGGUGGAGUCACUAGAGGACGUUCUGGUCUGUCAGUUUUUGCUGUGAUUUGUGUUCUUAUAGCUGCUUUUGUGAUCUCUGGAAAAUUGAAGAACAUAAAUUCCCCACUUCCUCCUCCUGAACAACAGCAAGUCUAAAAAAAGAAGAAGCUCUUCACUUUUUUUAUUUCUUUGUCUUCAGACAAACCAGUUUACUGUAACAGUACAGACAUGUUUUGGCAUUCCUUCAGAAUCAGCUAUAAAUAUGAGUAAAACAAAGCGAUUCAUUAUUGCUACAUACGUGGCCCUUAUACAGGACAUCAGUCUUAGUCAUCUGUCUCUGAAAUUUGCUCUGACUAAAUGAAGAUGUGAAUUCUGUCAGAUUCUAUUACUGUGUAAUCUCAGAGUUUAAACUGUGGUCCAGAAGUGUCUGAUGUGGUUGUGGAGCACUCUGAUGAUCAUGUUACAUCAUUUAUUUAUUUAUGUAUUUAUUUAUUUAUUUUUCUUUCUUUGCUGUUGUCAAGUGUUUAAUGUUAAAGGUGAAAUUAUUCUUCCUCUGCUGCACCUAUCUCCUGCGGUGUGCCUCAAGGAUCUGUCCUUGGUCCCCUGCUCUUCUCACUGUAUAUGCUUCCCUUAGGCACAAUCUUUGAGAAGUACAACAUUGCACAUCAUUGUUAUGCUGAUGACAUACAGAUCUAUUUUGAAUUAACUGAUGAUCGUUCCAUGUCUUUGCACUGUUUUCAUAAGUGUAUGCGUGAGGUCAAAGAUUGGCUCUCUGGUAACUCCCUUAGCUUAAAUGUCAGGAAAACCGAAAUCAUCGUGUUUGACAGUAAUAUUCCUUGCAGCCAGUAAUAUCCCAAGCAUUGGCUUCCCGUUAAGUACCGUAUUUAUUUCAAAAUUUCAUCUCCGAGGAAGUUAUCCCAGAGAGAAGUAAAGCAAGUGUGUAAGUUCAUCUCUGAAUGUUUGUAAAGCGU